GCUGUGAUGGCUGAGAGGUUAAGGCUUUGGAUUUGAAAUCCGAUGGGAUUUUCCCGCGCAGGUUUGAUCCCUGCUCACAGCG